rnacentral:rRNA from 1 species
AGAUUGAACGCUGGCGGCAUGCCUAACACAUGCAAGUCGAACGGGAGUAGCAAUACUCUAGUGGCGGACGGGUGAGGAAUACGUAGGAAUUUGCCCUUAAGUGGGGGAUAACCCGGGGAAACCCGGAUUAAUACCGCAUGACCUCGAAAGAGCAAAGUGGGGGAUCGCAAGACCUCACGCUUUUUGGAGAAGCCUACGUCGGAUUAGCUAGUUGGUGAGGUAAUGGCUCACCAAGGCGACGGAUCCGUAACUGGUACUGAGAGGAUGAUCAGUCACACCGGAACUGAGACACGGUCCGGACUCCUACGGGAGGCAGCCAGUGGGGGAAUAUUGGACAAUGGGCGCAAGGCCUUGAUCCAGCAAUGCCGCGUAGUCGAGAA